AAUACAUCACAACACUGACCCACAUUUACCACCAUAACAAGACAACAGUUCGGUUACAAUGACCUUUAGCAAGCGCGCACGUACUGAAUAUUGGAUAACAAGGGGGAGACAGAAUUACUGAAGUAGUACAUGCAACGGACUUUGUAAAUAACAAGUCUCCUACAACAGAUCCAGGGAUAGAGUGAGACAAUAUCUUAAAUUGAGAUACUUGCGUGGCAAAGACGUUAAAAUCAAAGAUUGGACUUAAGUGUAAAGGACAUACACGGGACUUAGCUUAAUUACAGCACCCAGACUGUGAUCAGUAAAGAAACAUAGAACAGCAUGUGAACAAAGAUGUGUAUGCUGACAAUUAAUGAUAAUUACUACACAAGAAAAUGUAUGCUAUUUCAAUGUACAUCAUGUGAUAUUGGUUUUGUGUUUAUACACAUUAUUUGUUUCCUUUAUCAUUUAUAUGAAAUUACUAUAAUAUACAGUGUCUUCACUUAUGAUGAAAUAUAUAGAUAUACUGACAAAUCAUUAUUAAUAACACUUUGUAAGUGAUCAACAUCAAAAUCUAAAAGACAGACAGACAGUCGGGCUGGUAGCUGCAUUUUUAAAAAUCGUCCGUAGGAAGUUUUACUUGCAUUUGGCGAGCGGGCAAGUACUUUCUGCAGCCCUGGAAAAUGUAUGAUUUAUAGAAAAUAAGAUUAAUGCUAGACAAACGUAAUUAAUUGUUUUGAGUUUCAAUAUGAAAUUAGUUCCAACUUUAUUGAAUAAAACAUUCUUCUUUAA